GACGAACGCUGGCGGCGUGCUUAACACAUGCAAGUCGAACGAAGUGGCGAACGGGUGAGUAACGCGUAAUCAACCUGCCCUUCAGAGGGGGACAACAGUUGGAAACGACUGCUAAUACCGCAUACUGAAGGAGGGGGGUGGGUCGGAUUAGCUAGUUGGGGGGGUAACGGCCCACCAAGGCGAGGAUCAGUAGCCGGUCUGGGAGGAGGAACGGCAACAGUGGGACUGAGACAAGGCCCAGACUCCUACGGGAGGCAGCAGUGGGGACUCUUCCGCAAUGGACCAAAGUCUGAUCAAGCAAGUCGGGUUGCACGAUGAAGUUUUUCGGAAUGUAAAGUGCUUUCAGUUGGGAAGCGGUACCAACAGAAGAAGUGACGGCUAAAUACGUGCCAGCAGCCGCGGUAAUAC
rnacentral:rRNA from 1 species